GCCGCAUCAUUGUUAGAGGCGGCAGUUUCUCUCUUUCUGCAUGAAAUGGGUUAUGUGUUGGCAAAGAUGUUGAGACAGAUGUCAGGCAGAGCGAGCCACUCUCUCUGAUCCCUGCCUUUGUCAGGUCUCUCUGUGCAAGAGGACACUCACUCACUAGCCUCUACAAGAGCAGAGAUGCGAUGUCUUCUUCCUCCAUCCUUAAUGUACUUCCAGAAGAGGGCCUUGGGCUGUGUGAGCACUGAUGGCAAGAGUCUCUUGGAUCUUGGAAGUCAUUCACCUUCUUGUUGCCCACAGAUAACGAGUGUGUUCAAUUCACCUUAAAAACUCAGUUCUGCCUCUAGUAGCCUGCUCUUUUGCAGCAAGGAAGUUAAGGUUGCCCUGUUGCCUGGUUGAGGGUGGAGGGGAGCACAGCACCUUCAAAGAUCUAUCUGGUUUCUUUGCUGCUGUAAGUCAUUAGAAUAUGGAUCGCUUUCCAGGCCUUGGGGCUGCAGGCAGCAUGCCAUGUAGUAAACCAUGUUCCAGCAGAGGCGGACACACAAGGGCUGUUUUUCAGCCCAUUAGGAAGGAGGCACAGCCAAGUCCAACACUAAAACAGAGGAGUUAUUCUGAGACAUGCUAUGCCUAUACAGGAAUAUAAAGCUUGGCAUCUCACACUGUUCUAGGAGCCCACAGGCAGCUCAUUCAUUCACUAGACUUUUGAUGUCUGCCUGCACUGAGCCAGACCCUGGGGUUCUGGGGAUACAGGGUGAGGGGAAGAUUCAUCAGGGAUAAGGACGGGGUCAAAUCUUGGUUCCAAAGAAAAUCGAGGAACAAAUUGAAAUGAACCCAUCUUUUCCAUACUUCUAUUUGAAUAAAAGAACGUGUACAUUGAAUUUAUUUUCUGGAAAGGAAAUACAGAGAUUUUGUUUUAGAGGCUGAGGCACUGCCUUGCGGGGGACCUUGGGCCUUGUCUAACCCACCCAACACAGGCUCUCUCAAGAGCCCAUAGCCGGUUGUGUUUCCGCAGUUGAAGGCAUGAAUGGGCUCUGGCUUUUCUUGAGGACUGCUAACUCCUGAUUUCCCUCUUCUUUCUCUUUUCUCUUAGACAGAGAUGGUUGAGCUUGAGGUGCCCCGCCCCACACAUCGGAUUAGGUAUGGACUUUGGUCUCCAUCCCUGGGAUACUCCUGGGAUUCGACCCUCUGUUCUUGCCCUCCUGGCAUCCUUAAUCUGUAGCGGGCUUCUCGUCAGUAGAAAAGGGAAAUUUCUAUUCUAGGUGCUGCACAUUUCACUCUGGAGCAGGGAGACUGCUGGCCAGCAUGGACUUCUGUGGGUCUGUGUGUUCCUUGGGUAAAUGAAUUCACAAGCCUCAAAUAGAGUCUUGGUGUUUUCACCAAUCCAGUUUCUGUUAAAGGAAGGUCUCUGAAGGGUCUUCAGAGGGGUCUUCUGGUUCUAGGACUCUAGAGAUUGCCUGUUUCCAAAGAUGAUUUCUGGGUUUCCUUUUUGUUAGUUUGUUAGUUUUACAAAUACUUGUUUGGGGAGUUCCCCUUGUGGCUCCGCAGAAAUGAAUCCAACUAGUAUCUAUGAGGAUGUGGGUUUGCUCAGUGGGUUAGGGAUCCGGCGUUGCUGUGAGCUGUGGUAGGUCAUAGAUGCAGCUCUGAUCCUGCAUUGCUGUGGCUGUGGUGUAGGCCGCUAGCUCCGAUUUGCCCCCUGGCCUGGGAACCUCCAUAUGCCGCGGGUACAACCCUAAAAAGCAAAAAAAAAAAAAGCAACACCCCAAAACCCCAAUAAAACCCCAAAUACCGCUCUGCAUCUCUGACUUCUUUCCUUGAUCAUGUUCUUAGGAGCCUUCUGUCUUAUGGGCCUGGAGUCUUAGCACAAAGGAAGGCGGGCAGACAGUUGUUUUUUUUUUCUUUUUGCCUUUUUGAGGGCUGCUCCCGUGGCAUAUGGAGGUUCCCAGGCUAGGGGUUGAAUCGGAGCUGUAGCCACCGGCCUACGCCAGAGCCACAGCAACGCGGGAUCCAAGCCGAGUCUGUGACCUACACCAGAGCCCACGGCAAUGCCGGAUCCUUCACCCACUGAGCAAGGCCAGGGAUCGAACCCGCAACCUCAUGGUUCCUAGUUGGAUUCAUUAACCACUGAGCCACGACAGGAACUCCAGGCAUCUUUUUUUGGUGGCAUGCAGUAGCAGAUUGAUGUGCAAUCUCAGUUUCCAGAGCCCAGAGUGAACCUGGUCCCCAGCCGUGAAAGGGCUGUGUCCCAACCACCAGACCACAAGGGAACUCCCCAGGCAGGGUCAUCUUACCUGCUGGGUGUCGUUUUGAGGUUCUUUUGGCCACACUGGUAAAUAAAGCUUCCAGUCCUUCGUUCCUUGUCGGGGCUCCCCCAUCCUCUCUCCCUCUGCCCCUCCCACUGGGUUGCCCAGCUGUUUUUCCCUUUUGUCCACUGUCAUGGGCAGGAUGCUGCUGUUCACAUACGCAGCAUCCCUCCACGGGCAGGCUUAGACUUUUGAGGAAACACAGAAUUUUUUUUGUGAGGGAGAAAAAGUCUAUGAGACCAUGGUCAGAAUUCAUUGCGAUGGAAACAUAUUGAUUUAAAAAUAAAAGAAAAUAAUUAGGCCCGGAGAAAACAGCUUCGGAGAGGUUCUCUGGGUAGAAAUCUGUGGACUCUGUGAUGUGCUGUGUCGGUGGUUGGAAUGAAGUUGACUCAGGAGCCUGCCCUGAGGAGCAGAGGGAAGCUGGUCAGCAUCACCGCUAGGGGGCGACAGAGGUCACAGCUGCCAUAUCCUGGGACGGUGGUAAGGCCCCCUUCCCUUCUCAGGGGAGUAGGUGCGAGGGUCAGCCAAGAAAAGGGACCCUGUUCUAUAAUCUGCUCUACUGAACAAAGCAAGUAAGCUGUUUGGUAACACUACUCAAGGUCACCAAGAAGUAAAGCAACCUAGGAGUUUUUUUUUUUUUUUUAGGACCACACCCAUGGAAUAUAGAAGUUCCCAGGCGAGGGGUCAAAUCGGAGCUACAGAUGCUGGCCUACACCACAGCCACAGCAAUGCAGGAUCUAAGCUGCAUCUGUGACCUACACCACAGCUCAGGGCAAUGCUGGAUCCUUAACCCACUGAGCAAAGCCAGGGAUUGAACCUGCAUCUUCAUGGAUACUAGUCAGGUUCGUAACCUGCUGAGCCACAAUAGGAGCUGUGGGACCUAAGAUUAGAAAUGGUGCUUUGGACUCUCUAGGAACGUACCAGAAGGGGAGGAGGAGGGUCAGGGCAGGGAGAGAAGGGGGAAUUCAGUUUCUGAUGCAAGCAAAACAAAAACAAAAAAGAAAGCAACAAAUAGAUCCAUCAAUAAAUAGGGAAAAUACAUGAAGCUGUGAGCCAGUAUUGGCCACAUGAAUCUAAAGCUUUCUGACAGCCCAGACUUCGAGCACUGGGUUUUCAGGAUGCAUGAACUGCUCUGAGCCAUAAUGGGUUUGCUUCCUCCCUUCUUGCUCUGCCAGCACAAUGAGAGGGGGCUUUUCCAUAAUUGGCCCUUGAAACAUUACUGUAUCACUUUGUGGCCUCCUUCAGCUUAUUUUUAAUUACAAGGUCUAUUGCGUUGUUAAAUGAUUAACUCUGCCAAUUACUUAUCUUGGCAUUUUCUUACCCUGGUGAAAACAGCAAGGUCGUGUUAGCUCACUCCAGGUUUUGGUCUGCUACAGCUGAAAUUAAGCUGGAUCAGUUCAGCACAUGUUGGUAGGGCGGGGAACAGCCGAGUUUGUGGAGGGUAAGCCGGUGGAAGCGGUGGAGGGGCUGGGCGGCCCGCACUGGUGCCCGUUCGGGCUGGUCGGGGCCAGGUUGUCUGUAGGAGUGGGACGUGCAGUUGCCGCGACGGUGUUUUGCAAACGUGGGUGGCUUCUUCCCCUCACCCUUGAGGAAGGGCCCUGCCCAUGGGGCUCCCAUGUGCAGAAGCUCUCUUUCUGGUGGUUGACAGCCCCGGGCAGAGUCAGAAAGAGGAGCACGUCCUGUGGCCUCUGCUGAUCUGGCCCGGCUCUGCUCUGGCUCCUGGUCCCCUUUCCGCCUUUCUAAGUCCCACUCAUCUGAGGUCCAUUGUGGACACUUUCUUCCCUCUCUCGGCCCCCACUGCCCUCCGUGGUGCUCACUGGAUGACAACACGGGCAACAGUGACAGCGACUAAACAACCGCGGUAACAACGAUGAAUGUGUAUUGAGUGCUUACUGUAUACCUGGUGCCUUGCCUGCCAUAGACGCUUCACAAACGUCUGCAAGUGCGGGCCGGGGCAGGUCGCGUUGUCAUGCUGCCCUCUCUCCAGCAGGGGGUAGUGUGACUACACCAUAAAGGGGACCCUUCUUCUCUUCCUGUGUUCUCAGGAAAAGUGACGCUUCAGCGUUUCUGCAGAUGCUGGAAGAGGGCUUCUGGCUUUGACAGUGGGUCCAAGGCUCUGACUGACAGUGAGGACAAAAGGCUGCAGAGCUAUCACCUCUCGCUCCCCCCAGCCUCGGGCACUUGGGGUCCCUCUGACCCAGUGUCAAGUCAUUCUAUGUUCGGUCCCCGUCUCCCCUGACUCUGUGCAUGAGCUUGGAGAGAUGGCUUUGGCCUCUGUUGACGGUGCUAGCUCUGUGGCAGGUACUUGUCACCUUGCCUCCUUAGAGAUACACAGAUGUUCCCAAAGCAGACAGCCACUUGGCGGGAGCUAGAGACUGGGUGUGCAGAUGCCCCACAUGCUGUAUGCAUUCGUGGAUGGCACUGCUUUUGAGAGACCUCUUGGCCACGUGGAGCAGUGGUUUCAGGAGGCACACCCCUGUGCUGUGCAGUUUCUCCGGCAGGAGCCUGUGAACAAGUCCCAUCUUUCCCACAGCCUGGGAGCCCGAGGUUCCCAGGGUAUCACACCCAGAGGGGGAGGGGUGAGGCUGUUGGCAGGGUGUGGUUGUGUCGGCUCCGAGCCCUCUAACUUGGGGAGGACCUUGGUGAGAAGGAAGGGUACAAGCUGGCACCCACUCUGGGCGAUUUCUGUCGAUGCAGCUCUGGCUAUGGUCCGACAGUCUGGGGAACAAGCGGGAUAUUCCUGGAAUUGACCCCAUGGAUGUUACUGACUACACCAGGGCCCACUCAGGACUCGGAAGGCUGAUUCUUUAUCUUGGGAGGGAUUUUUGUGUCUGGUCCCCAGCAAGGGUAGGCUGGGAGAUCUCUGACGACCUCUGCAGAGGAGUUCAGAUCCUGGGUCCCUCGGUACCUCCUGCGUCUGAGGCUCCAGCUCUGAUGAACUUAUGGAUCGAUAUUGCUGCCCGGCCUCUUGGCUUCAGAAGUGCUUUUGGUUCAGAUGUUCAAAGCAGCCCUGAGUUAUCUUUGUAGCCUCUCCAAAUUCCUCCCCUGUUCUCUAGGCCCCUGUGAAAAGAAAAUGCUAAUCUAUCAGCCACUGCUAACCCCACCCCCCAACCACCUGCCUGCUGGCAGCCAGAGGGAAGAGAGCCAUCGCAAGUGUUGAAACUGGAGUUCCCUUGGUGGCACAGUGGUUAAUGAAUCCGACUAGGAACCAUGAGGUUGCGGGUUUGAUUCCUGGCCUUGCUCAGUGGGUUAAGGAUUCGGCGUUGCUGUGAGCUGUGGUCUAGGUCGCAGACGUGGCUCGGAUCCCACGUUGCUGUGGCUCUGGCGUAGGCCAGCGGCUACAGCUCUGAUUCGACCACUAGCCUGGGAACCUCCAUAUGCCAUGGGAGUGGUCCUAGAAAAGGCAAAGACAAAAAGACAAAAAAAAAAAAAAAAAA
rnacentral:lncRNA from 1 species